rnacentral:rRNA from 1 species
UGGGGAAUAUUGGACAAUGGGCGCAAGCCUGAUCCAGCGACGCCGCGUGUGUGAAGAAGGCCUGCGGGUUGUAAAGCACUUUCGAUGGGAACGAAAUGUGCCGGGUUAAUACCCCGGUAAGCUGACGUUACUCAAUGAAGAAGCACCGGCUAACUCUGUGCCAGCAGCCGCGGUAAUACAGAGGGUGCGAGCGUUAAUCGGAAUUACUGGGCGUAAAGGGCGCGUAGGCGGCCCUCUAAGUCAGACGUGAAAUCCCCCGGCUUAACCUGGGAACUGCGUCUGAUACUGGAGGGCUUGAGUAUGGGAGAGGGAUGUAGAAUUCCAGGUGUAGCGGUGAAAUGCGUAGAUAUCUGGAGGAAUACCAGUGGCGAAGGCGGCUAACUGGUCCGGUACUGACGCUGAGGUGCGAAAGCGUGGGGAGCAAACAGGAUUAGAUACCCCCGUAGUCCCUGAGCGGGCUGGCAAGGCGCAU